rnacentral:rRNA from 1 species
AAAGCUCGUAGUUGAACUUCAGACCUGGCUGGGCGGUCAGCUUAUCGGCUUGUACUGUCUGGCUGGGCCUUACUUCUUGGUGAGCCGGUGUGCCCUUUAUUGGGUGCGCUGGUGAACCAGGACCUUUACCUUGAGAAAAUUAGAGUGUUCAAAGCAGGCCUAUGCCCGAAUACAUUAGCAUGGAAUAAUAAAAUAGGACGUGCGGUUCUAUUUUGUUGGUUUCUAGAGUCGCCGUAAUGAUUAAUAGGGAUAGUUGGGGGCAUUGGUAUUGAGUCGCUAGAGGUGAAAUUCUUGGAUUGACUCAAGACCAACUAUUGCGAAAGCAUUUGCCAAGGAUGUUUUCAUUAAUCAAGAACGAAGGUUAGGGGAUCGAAAACGAUUAGAUACCGUUGUAGUCUUAACAGUAAACUAUGCCGACUAGGGAUCGGAUGACCUCAAUUAUUAUGUGUCAUUCGGCACCUU